CGAAUGCUGACAUAAGUAACGAUAAAGCGGGUGAAAAGCCCGCUCGCCGGAAGACCAAGGGUUCCUGUCCAACGUUAAUCGGGGCAGGGUGAGUCGACCCCUAAGGCGAGGCCGAAAGGCGUAGUCGAUGGGAAACAGGUUAAUAUUCCUGUACUUGGUGUUACUGCGAAGGGGGGACGGAGAAGGCUAUGUUGGCCGGGCGACGGUUGUCCCGGUUUAAGCGUGUAGGCUGGUUUUCCAGGCAAAUCCGGAAAAUCAAGGCUGAGGCGUGAUGACGAGGCACUACGGUGCUGAAGCAACAAAUGCCCUGCUUCCAGGAAAAGCCUCUAAGCAUCAGGUAACAUCAAAUCGUACCCCAAACCGACACAGGUGGUCAGGUAGAGAAUACCAAGGCGCUUGAGAGAACUCGGGUGAAGGAACUAGGCAAAAUGGUGCCGUAACUUCGGGAGAAGGCACGCUGAUAUGUAGGUGAAGUCCCUCGCGGAUGGAGCUGAAAUCAGUCGAAGAUACCAGCUGGCUGCAACUGUUUAUUAAAAACACAGCACUGUGCAA
rnacentral:rRNA from 1 species